rnacentral:rRNA from 1 species
UACGUAGGGUGCAAGCGUUAAUCGGAAUUACUGGGCGUAAAGCGUGCGCAGGCGGUUGUGCAAGACAGAUGUGAAAUCCCCGGGCUUAACCUGGGAAGUUGCAUUUGUGACUGCACGGCUGGAGUGUGUCAGAGGGGGGGUAGAAUUCCACGUGUAGCAGUGAAAUGCGUAGAUAUGUGGAGGAAUACCGAUGGCGAAGGCAGCCCCCCUGGGAUAAGCACUGAC